rnacentral:rRNA from 1 species
UACAGAGGUCUCGAGCGUUAGGCGGAAUCACUGGGCUUAAAGCGUGUGUAGGUGGAUGCCUAAGUACCUUGUGAAAUCCCACGGCUUAACCGUGGAACUGCUUGGUAUACUGGGUGUCUUGAGUCACUCAGGGGCGAGCGGAACAAAUGGUGGAGCGAUGAAAUGCGUAGAUACCAUUUGGAACGCCAAUGGUGAAAACAGCUCGCUGGGGGUGCACUGACACUGAGACACGAAAGCCAGGGGAGCGAACGGG